rnacentral:rRNA from 1 species
UACGGAGGGGGCUAGCGUUGUUCGGAAUUACUGGGCGUAAAGCGUGCGCAGGCGGUUAUAUAAGACAGAUGUGAAAUCCCCGGGCUCAACCUGGGAACUGCAUUUGUGACUGUUUAACUAGAGUACGGUAGAGGGGGAUGGAAUUCCGCGUGUAGCAGUGAAAUGCGUAGAUAUGCGGAGGAACACCGAUGGCGAAGGCAAUCCCCUGGACCUGUACUGACGCUCAUGCACGAAAGCGUGGGGAGCAAACAGG